GAGGGAAAGGCGAAAAGAACCCCGGCGAGGGGAGUGAAAAAGAACCUGAAACCGUGUACGUACAAGCAGUAGGAGCCCCAUCACUCAAGUGCCUCGCACUGAGUGAUGCAAGAACAUCACCGAAAAUAGCGCCGAAUUUGCUAACAAGGUUGGUCGAUUUUUUCAAACCGUCGCGCAGUGUACCUAGAAGUACACGAGCAACGGAAGUUAAAAAAUCGGGCAAGAUUGAACGCAAAGGCAAGCGGGACAUUUGAGGAUGGGGUGACUGCGUACCUUUUGUAUAAUGGGUCAGCGACUUAUAUUCUGUAGCGAGGUUAACCGUAUAGGGGAGCCGUAGGGAAACCGAGUCUUAACUGGGCGAAUGAGUUGCAGGGUAUAGACCCGAAAC
rnacentral:rRNA from 1 species